UGAUCAGUUAACAAUCCAUAUCACAAGCCAGAUGGCAGGAGAGCCAAAGUUCCUUUUAUUUUUCAUCUUACAUAUUCUUACAUAUGCAUGACAUAGUUCAUAAAUAGAAGUUUUAAAACUUAAAGCAAAAUAAAAGAUUGUGGGUAUUUUUAACACAUAAAAUCUAACUGCCACACUUAAUUAUAUUUAUCAGAUUUGAUGACAUCAUUUUCUAAAAUUGAAUUUCUAUUUAUUUGCUUUUCUUUCAGAAUAAAAAGGAAUGUCCUAAUUGUGAAAUCAGAAAUCCAUUUUGAAUUCUUCAUAAAAAUGAAGAUGCAGCUGUGUCCUUCUGGUAACAGUGCUGCCAGCACCUUCCAAAGAUGGAUGCUCAACCUGAUGACCCAUUUGUGACAAAGAGAAAUACAGCAGCUGCGCGUCUUAGAAUGCUCACGCCAGCAUGGAAACAGAGACGAGAACUGACAUAGCUGGAAUCUAAGCCAGGCUUCAAUCAGUGCCGCAGCAGACACGUGGAGAAGAAAUGAUGUGGGUAGCAAUUCAACCAAUAUGUACUGAACAUUUGCCAAGCC
rnacentral:lncRNA from 1 species